rnacentral:rRNA from 1 species
UACGGGGGGGGGCAAGCGUUGUUCGGAAUUACUGGGCGUAAAGGGCUCGUAGGUGGCCAACUAAGUCAGACGUGAAAUCCCUCGGCUUAACCGGGGGAACUGCGUCUGAUACUGGAUGGCUUGAGAUUGGGAGAGGGAUGCGGAAUUCCAGGUGUAGCGGUGAAAUGCGUAGAUAUCUGGAGGAACACCGGUGGCGAAGGCGGCAUCCUGGACCGGCAUUGACGCUGAGGAGCGAAAGCUAGGGGAGCAAACGGGG